rnacentral:tRNA from 1 species
CAAAUUGAAGCUUUAAGAAGCAUUUUAUUUACAUUAAAAAGAUCAUUAAUCUAGUGUAAUUUGA